rnacentral:rRNA from 1 species
UGCCGUAACUUCGGGAGAAGGCACGCUGACACGUAGGUGAAGUGAUUUACUCAUGGAGCUGAAGUCAGUCGAAGAUACCAGCUGGCUGCAACUGUUUAUUAAAAACACAGCACUGUGCAAACACGAAAGUGGACGUAUACGGUGUGACGCCUGCCCGGUGCCGGAAGGUUAAUUGAUGGGGUCAGCGCAAGCGAAGCUCCUGAUCGAAGCCCCGGUAAACGGCGGCCGUAACUAUAACGGUCCUAAGGUAGCGAAAUUCCUUGUCGGGUAAGUUCCGACCUGCACGAAUGGCGUAAUGAUGGCCAGGCUGUCUCCACCCGAGACUCAGUGAAAUUGAACUCGCUGUGAAGAUGCAGUGUACCCGCGGCAAGACGGAAAGACCCCGUGAACCUUUACUAUAGCUUGACACUGAACAUUGAGCCUUGAUGUGUAGGAUAGGUGGGAGGCUUUGAAGUGUGGACGCCAGUCUGCAUGGAGCCGACCUUGAAAUACCACCCUUUAAUGUUUGAUGUUCUAACGUGGACCCGUGAUCCGGGUUGCGGACAGUGUCUGGUGGGUAGUUUGACUGGGGCGGUCUCCUCCUAAAGAGUAACGGAGGAGCACGAAGGUUGGCUAAUCCUGGUCGGACAUCAGGAGGUUAGUGCAAUGGCAUAAGCCAGCUUGACUGCGAGCGUGACGGCGCGAGCAGGUGCGAAAGCAGGUCAUAGUGAUCCGGUGGUUCUGAAUGGAAGGGCCAUCGCUCAACGGAUAAAAGGUACUCCGGGGAUAACAGGCUGAUACCGCCCAAGAGUUCAUAUCGACGGCGGUGUUUGGCACCUCGAUGUCGGCUCAUCACAUCCUGGGGCUGAAGUAGGUCCCAAGGGUAUGGCUGUUCGCCAUUUAAAGUGGUACGCGAGCUGGGUUUAGAACGUCGUGAGACAGUUCGGUCCCUAUCUGCCGUGGGCGCUGGAGAACUGAGGGGGGCUGCUCCUAGUACGAGAGGACCGGAGUGGACGCAUCACUGGUGUUCGGGUUGUCAUGCCAAUGGCACUGCCCGGUAGCUAAAUGCGGAAGAGAUAAGUGCUGAAAGCAUCUAAGCACGAAACUUGCCCCGAGAUGAGUUCUCCCUGAGACUUUAGGUCUCCUGAAGGAACGUUGAAGACGACGACGUUGAUAGGCCGGGUGUGUAAGCGCAGCGAUGCGUUGAGCUAACCGGUACUAAUGAACCGUGAGGCUUAACCUUACA